rnacentral:RNase_P_RNA from 1 species
CGAGUUGGCUGGGCGGCCGCGGCUCGCUGGUUCGCCAGACGAGUCGAGGAAAGUCCGGACUUCACAGAGCAGGGUGAUUGCUAACAGCAAUCCGAGGUGACUCGCGGGAAAGUGCCACAGAAAACAGACCGCUACCUAGCUAGGUAGUAAGGGUGAAACGGUGCGGUAAGAGCGCACCAGCAUUCCGGGUGACCGGAAUGGCUCGGCAAACCCCACCCGAAGCAAGGCCAAGAAGGCCGCACUGCGGUGCGGCCGCGCAGGCGUCCGAGGGUUGCUCGCCCGAGCCUGCGGGUAGGCCGCUUGAGGCACCCGGUGACGGAGUGUCCAGAUGGAUGGUCGCCGCCGCGUUACUCCGGUAGCGCGGAACAGAAUCCGGCUUACAGGCCAACUCGUCCG